AUUGAACGCUGGCGGCAUGCUUUACACAUGCAAGUCGAACGGUAACAGGCCGCCAGGUGCUGACGAGUGGCGAACGGGCGAGUAAUGCAUCGGAACGUGCCCAGUCGUGGGGGAUAACUACCCGAAAGAGUAGCUAAUACCGCAUACGAUCUAUGGAUGAAAGCGGGGGACCGUAAUGCCUCGCGCGAUCGGAGCGGCCGAUGUGAGAUUAGGUAGUUGGUGGGGUAAAGGAUCACCAAGCCAACGAUCUGUAGCUGGUCUGAGAGGACGACCAGCCACACUGGGACUGAGACACGGCCCAGACUCCUAAGGGAGGCAGCAGUGGGGAAUUUUGGGCAAUGGGCGCAAGCCUGGUCCAACAAUGGCGCGUGCAGGAAAAAGGCCUUCGGGUUGUAAACUGCUUUUGUACGGAACGAAACGGCUCUGGUUAAUACCCGGGGCUAAUGACGGUACCGUAAGAAUAAGCACCGGCUAACUACGUG
rnacentral:rRNA from 1 species